rnacentral:rRNA from 1 species
GGUGAUGUAGGGCAAGAGGGCGGGGUAAGACGGAGGGGGGGAGGGUGGGCCGGAGUGAUUGGGUUUGAAUGGGGGGUAGGCGGGAUGUUAAGGCAGUGGUGAAAUCUCCAGUAUCAACCUGGAAACUGCCAUUGAUACUAUUAGGCUUGAAUUUUGUGGAGGGAGGCGGAAUAAGUCAUGUAGCGGUGAAAUGCUUAGAUAUGACUUAGAACACAAAGUGCGAAGGCAGCUUGCUAAACAAAUAUUGACGCUGAGGCACGAAAGCGUGGGGAUCAAACAGGAUUAGAUACCCCUGUAGUC